CCGCUCUUCUCUUCGCGCCAACUCCCUCAACCCCUUAGGUCAGUAGGUGCUCUCUCGUUUUACCAAAUCCAACAACUUCUGUUGAUUGUUGCCACGGAUGAAGAAAACCGUUGAUUGUUGCUGGCUUACUGCUGAUUUUGGUAGUUUGAGCAUCGAUUUCAACGAGAAGAAGAGAGAUUUCGAGGAGGGAGGCGGCUGGGGCCAUAAAGAUCAGCUCCGGCACACCACAUAUUCGAUGAAAUGCCCACAACGCGCUGCAGCGACGUCUUCUUCUCCUCUCUUCACGGUCGCUCGCCAGUCCACGCUGCCAUCCAUCAGUGUUGUCCGAUAAGAGCAUGCAAGACGAGAUGAUGGAUCUUAUGGAUGUGAGCAAUGAAAUACAAGAAACUCUUGGUAGAAGCUACAGUGUCCCAGAUGACAUUGAUGAGGAGGAACUUAUUUGUAGUUGGCUAUUCUUAGAUGACUCAAACACCAGAGCUCGAUGCUUUGGAAGCUGAUGGACUUCAAAUCAAAUUCAGUCCAAUCGUACCUCUAACCAAAUAAGGAAACAUAUCUUGAUUUUGAGCUUUACUUACCUGCUGCACCAAGUGGUCAUGCAGCAGUCACGGCAAACUUGCAGCAGGUAGGUAUGCCAACUGCGAGACUGACUAGUUUCUGUGAUGUUGAUUAUGGUAUUGAUUUCCUGAGAAAGAAAUCGAUGGUUUGUGUCAUUUCCCAUGCAAUCGCUGUGCGUGAAGUUGUAAAAGGGUUUCUUUAUCUCGUCACAUGAUCGAAAUGACAGGCUAGAUACCUGCGAUCAUUACGGAAUUAUUUCCUAACCUAUAAAUUGUGUAUUUCGGGUUCACCUUCAUGGCAAGUACAUAUAUUGUUGGUGUGAACAACUGAGCUUAUCCUAGCUUGAUAUUACCAGCAAAAACAACUCAUGGGAGGACAUGCCAACCACUUUAAUGCC